CGUAAGCUCUGACCUCGUCUCUAGUUUUUCAGGCUCCUCCUCCUCCAGUAACGACAGUCGGCGUAGAGCAGUUCGAUCUACUGGUUGAGCAGGUCAAGGGCCUCACCGAAACAGUGCAGGCCAUGCAGUAGUAGCAGCAGAAGUCGCAGGCAUCUGUGCGGCUGGAAAGAGCAUCGUCAGAGUUCCAAAAUUCGACGAUCGGACGGCCCACUUGGGCCAGUCACCCUGUCUUCCCUGAAAAGGGAAAGUAGAGGGCGGAGAGCCCUCUGUCUGAUCACGAUUUCAUCCCCGAAGGGUCUCUACCUCCGUUCUGCCAGAAGAUCCUCGAG
rnacentral:lncRNA from 1 species